UGGCUAUUUAAUUCUGCUGUUAAGAGAAUAGAGUGUGUGUGUGCCAAGUGUAGAGCUGUUCUCAAAGGCCAGCCCUUCCAACAUUCCAACAUUCCAACAUUCCAACAUUCCAACAUUCCAAUCCUCUGUCUCCCACCACCUGUCACAGAAACUUGUGCCAUGGCAGCCUCAGAGUGCCAGCAGGGUUCAAAUCUGGUGUCUGUGGUAACCAUAGUCUGGUGCCUGUGGUAACCAUAGUCUGGUGCCUGUGGUAACCAUAAUCUGGUGCCCUGUGGUAACCAUAGUCUGGUGCCUGUGGUAACCAUAGUCUGGUGCCUGUGGUAACCAUAGUCUGGUGCCUGUGGUAACCAUAGUCUGGUGCCUGUGGUAACCAUAGUCUGGUGCCUGUGGUAACCAUAGUCUGGUGCCUGUGGUAACCAUAGUCUGGUGCCUGUGGUAACCAUAGUCUGGUGCCUGUGGUAACCAUCUGGCAAGCAGCAGUGAGUGCAGGGUUAGUCCUGCCUGCCUCACGCACCGUGAGCUGCUCUCUGCCCUCCUGGAAUAACACACUGCCACGAAACCUGUUCUGGGAUUAAUGCCUGGACACGCACCUCGGCAAAGCAAGGUUCAGAAUACAAAGCAGGGACAGCUCCAAGCUGAUUGGAAUUCUGAGAUAUAACAAAAACCUUCUUUGGAGUGUGACCUUGAGAGCAGAGCUGUUGUGUGCUAUAAAUAAUGGAGAAUUAGCUAUAUAGGUUAAAACAGUGAGGAAAGUAUUUUAUGUGAUUUUCAAGGGCUGUAAGCCCAAGAAGAGCUGAUGUCUAUCAGAGUGUUAUAUAAAUAGUCUUGUAAUGAGGAAGAGCAUAUAAGAUCCAAGAUAGAUUUCUUCUUUUUAAUGAGAUGGGAGAAUAUAUUACUUCAGAAUUUAAAGGCUAUUUUUCUUUUUGAAAUUCAGAUCUGGCUUUAUGAAUAUUUUAUUUUAAAAAUCCCAAUGAUGGUAAUAAGUUUUCUAAUGCUAAGACAUUUCUCUUUAACAUGUAAGUGUAUUGUUGACAAGCCUAAUUUUUCCAGAAAAAUCACUUUAAAGUUACUAACAUACUUUCUAAAACUAAAUUCAAUCUCAUGCCAUCCACCAGUUUUUUCCAGUAAUGAAGCUUUCUGCCAUUAUGAAACAGUAACAGUAGAAAUUACUAAUAGGUCUAAUAGAAUAAUUGCUCCUACAGUCCCUGCUGGAAACUUGUCACAAGGAUAACCUUGCACCAGACCUGUAUUUUUGGUAUAAGCUUGCAUCUGACUUGGCACUGGAGUUUCUGCAAAGAGGAAACACCAGCUCAUUUAAAAGAAACAGGAGAAAUUGCCUUAAGAUUAAUUUCAGCUGCAGUGGAAGGAGGAUGUUGGAACAUUCCAGCACAGGAUCAGCACCAGCCACUGUUUUACCAAGUGUAAGAAGAAGGAACAUAUUUCCCCACUCCCCUGCUACACUGUGGGUAGAUCAGUAAAAAUUUUCUCAACUCA